UCCGAGUUGACCCCGGCAGUCUCCUAUGAGUCCCCGACAUUACUCGCUGGCAACAUAGGACGAGGGUUGCGCUCGUUGCGGGACUUAACCCAACAUCUCACGACACGAGCUGACGACAACCAUGCACCACCUGUAUACCGCCCUUGCGGACCCCGUAUCUCUACGAGUUUUCGGUAUAUGUCAAGCCUUGGUAAGGUUCCUCGCGUUGCAUCGAAUUAAGCCACAUGCUCCACCGCUUGUGCGGGCCCCCGUCAAUUCCUUUGAGUUUCAGCCUUGCGGCCGUACUCCCCACGCCGUAAACGGUGGGCGCUAGGUGUGGGUUUCCUUCCACGGAGAACGUGGAAGGUUCCCCACACCUAGCACCCAUCGUUUACAGCUGGGACUAC
rnacentral:misc_RNA from 1 species